GUGCACCAGUCGCGAAAACUCCGCAAUACGCGAAAGCGUGACGGGGCUACCCCGAGUGUCGUCCGCUGAGGACGACUUUUCCACGCUGUAAGGAGGCGUGGGAAUAAGGAGAGGGCAAGUCUGGUGUCAGCCGCCGCGGUAAUACCAGCUCUCCGAGUGGUAGGGACGAUUAUUGGGCUUAAAGCGUCCGUAGCCGGCUCAGCAAGUCUCCCGUUAAAUCCAACGAUUCAAUCGUUGGACUGCGGGAGAUACUGCAGAGCUAGGGGCCGGGAGACGCAGAAGGUACUCCUGGGGUAGGGGUGAAAUCCUAUAAUCCUAGGGGGACCACCAGUGGCGAAGGCGUUCUGCGAGAACGCGCCCGACGGUGAGGGAUGAAAGCUGGGGGAGCGAACCGGAUUAGAUACCCGGGUAGUCC
rnacentral:rRNA from 1 species